CCUACGGGAGGCAGCAGUGGGGAAUAUUGGGCAAUGGGCGCAAGCCUGACCCAGCAACGCCGCGUGAAGGAAGAAGGCUUUCGGGUUGUAAACUUCUUUUCUCAGGGACGAAGAAAGUGACGGUACCUGAGGAAUAAGCCACGGCUAACUACGUGCCAGCAGCCGCGGUAAUACGUAGGUGGCAAGCGUUAUCCGGAUUUAUUGGGUGUAAAGGGCGUGUAGGCGGGGGCGCAAGUCAGAUGUGAAAACUCAGGGCUCAACCCUGAGCCUGCAUUUGAAACUGUGUUUCUUGAGUGCUGGGGAGGCAAUCGGAAUUCCGUGUGUAGCGGUGAAAUGCGUAGAUAUACGGAGGAACACCAGUGGCGAAGGCGGAUUGCUGGACAGUAACUGACGCUGAGGCGCGAAAGCGUGGGGAGCAAACAGGAUUAGAUACCCCAGUAGUC
rnacentral:rRNA from 1 species